rnacentral:rRNA from 1 species
AUAAUGGGUCAGCGACUUAUAUUCUGUAGCAAGGUUAACCGAAUAGGGGAGCCGAAGGGAAACCGAGUCUUAACUGGGCGUUAAGUUGCAGGGUAUAGACCCGAAACCCGGUGAUCUAGCCAUGGGCAGGUUGAAGGUUGGGUAACACUAACUGGAGGACCGAACCGACUAAUGUUGAAAAAUUAGCGGAUGACUUGUGGCUGGGGGUGAAAGGCCAAUCAAACCGGGAGAUAGCUGGUUCUCCCCGAAAGCUAUUUAGGUAGCGCCUCGUGAAUUCAUCUCCGGGGGUAGAGCACUGUUUCGGCAAGGGGGUCAUCCCGACUUACCAACCCGAUGCAAACUGCGAAUACCGGAGAAUGUUAUCACGGGAGACA